GAGGUUACAGCUCAAGUGGUAAAGUGCAUGCUUAGCAUGCAUGAGGUCCUGGGUUCAAUCCCCAGUAAGUUCU
rnacentral:tRNA from 1 species